CAACCGGCCCUUUUCAGGGCCACCUAUAUAUAAAUCUGUAAAUAC
rfam:Trachymyrmex zeteki contig2734, whole genome shotgun sequence.